rnacentral:lncRNA from 1 species
UGGUAGUAAUUUAAAGCUAUAAAAUUCAUAUGCAAGACAGACUCCAUUACAGAUUAAAAAGAUAUAACCAGAAUCAGAAUGCUACUUACAAAACUAUUUUAAUACAGCAACUAAUACAGUUAUCAAAUCAUUCAUUAGAGAAUAUAUUGUUAUACGAAAAGAAAUGCUGCCUUUUUAUUACUUCAGUGCAGCAAAUAAGAAGGCAACAUCAAGAAAAGUGCACAGCAGAAAAGAAUUGUUCAGUUUUCUGAAAAAGUUGAAUUUAUCUUCAGACAUCAGGCUUUUGUCAGGAAAUAUAUUGGGUUAGGAUUGCUUCUAUUCUCUCCCAGAUCAGUCUCUUCUUGCAUUAGUUCUCAGUAAGGUGCUCACUCUGACAUGUAGGAACGAUACAUCAGGGCCACAAUAAUUGCUGCUAUUGCCGGGAUCACCCAGUUGGACCAUGAACUGGAAUUAGACUGCACAGUGGUAAUAAGAGUUUCUGCUGGUUUCUGAAGCUUCGGUCUAUCAUCCGGGUGAAGCUCCCCAAUAAUAAAUGUUUCCGACAGCGCCCUUGCAUCUGUAGAGUGGCCAACAUCUUCAAAGUUCUCAGUAGCAUCUCCCCCAGCUUGCUCCCUAAGGACUUCUUCUCCACCAGGGUGCUCAUCCAGGAACUUGGUGAUGUCGUAGAUACGGUGGUGCACGAUGAUCCAGGUGCUCUGGCUGUUGUUAUGCUUCUGCACCUCCUCCAGCCGAUAGUAGCGGCCCCGCCACGCCUCACCGCCGGCUUCACUGGAGCCCACCAUAUCCUCGCUUGACAGACAGCCCACCGCCGCCGCGACUCACCACAACCCCCCUCUCACGCGCGGACGCCAAAUACAGCCCAGCCAACAGCCUAUCACCGCCCGCCCUACCUCCACUUCCUGCUCUCUCAUAGGCGGAGUGGUAUGUCUUUCAAAGAAGUCAUCACGCUACCGGCCGCGGAUUGGCGAGCCACACGUAAAGGGCGGGGCUAACGAUGUGGCCACAGGGGUGGGGUGUGCGCUCCCAGUCCCCUCCUCCCCGGGCGCGAUCGGCGCUCUCCGCAUGACCCGGUCACGUGCUCCGCCUCGCCUCAGUCAGCCAAAGGCGCGCGAGCUCUACUCCGCUAUCUUCCCCUCAGGCCGCGCUCCGCUGUGGCUCCUCGGGCGGGAGACGGUGUUGGCGCCACGAUGUGGCCGUGAGGGGGAGCGCCUCAGGGGACCGCCCCGCCCUCCUGCCGCAGGUGUGCGCUCACUUCAGCGCCCUCCCGCUGGUCUGAGGGGGCCAGGAGGGGUUCCCUCGCCUUCUCUCGGCGGCGAUCUUCCAAGCACAGUUGCCCUGUUUUCCUUUAGUUUUAUUUGAGGUAAAACCCAGCUUCAGAGCAGCUCUCUGUGCUCUGAGGAAAGCCAGCUACCUCAGGUCGCAGCGUCCUGAUUGACUCCUUCAGUGGGAUUUUAGGUUGUCUUUUUCUGUUGUUUGGUUGCUCGUUUUUUGGGAGGAGGAGGAGGGAUUGCUUAUUUGUUUCCAACGUAACUUAAGUAACAUAAAGCUUACAGAGAGUGAUUCAGGUGCUACCCCCAGUUUAUGACAGCAAACCCAAUGGCAAGAGUCCCUGUGGUCCCUCACAGCUUUGUGUAGCUUUCAGUGUAAAUGAGGAGGUUCCCCAUGCCAUUGCCCAGGCUGGUAUGAAAAUAAUAAAUACUGCUUACCAAUUCUGUGAUUUCUCCGCCUGCUCUGAAUGAAGAUCAGUGACAGCCAUUCUCUGACUGAAAGUCACCUUAGCAUGAGCUGUGUUGGUUUAAAGAUGGUGUGUUAUGAUCACUGCAUUUACGGGUGUAAUUCUUC